rnacentral:rRNA from 1 species
AAGACGAACGCUGGCGGCGUGCUUAAUACAUGCAAGUCGAACGAUGAAGCCCUCGGGUGGAUUAGUGGCGAACGGGUGAGUAACACGUGGGUGAUCUGCCUCGCACUUCGGGAUAAGCCUGGGAAACUGGGUCUAAUACCGGAUAUGACCGCUGGCCGCAUGGUUGGUGGUGGAAAGAUUCAUCGGUGCGAGAUGAGCCCGCGGCCUAUCAGCUUGUUGGUGGGGUGAUGGCCUACCAAGGCGGUGACGGGUA